ensembl:rRNA 5S_rRNA 5S ribosomal RNA
GUCUUCAGCCAUACCACCCUGAAUGCACCCGACCUCGUCUGAUCUCAGAAGCUAAGCAGGGACGAGCAAUGCGUGGCUAAAUACA